rnacentral:rRNA from 1 species
GACGUAGGGUGCGAGCGUUGUCCGGAUUUCUUGGGCGUAAAGGGCUCGUAGGCGGCCAACUAAGUCAGACGUGAAAUCCCUCAGCUUAACUGGGGAACUGCGUCUGAUACUGGAUGGCUUGGAUUCGGGAGAGGAAUGCGGAAUUCCUGGUGUAGCGGUGAAAUGCGCAGAUAUCAGGAAGAACACCAAUGGCGAAAGCAGCUUUCUGGGACGGUACUGACGCUGAGACGCGAAAGCGUGGGGAGCGAACAGG